rnacentral:rRNA from 1 species
UGACUGCGUACCUUUUGUAUAAUGGGUCAGCGACUUAUAUUCUGUAGCAAGGUUAACCGAAUAGGGGAGCCGAAGGGAAACCGAGUCUUAACUGGGCGUUAAGUUGCAGGGUAUAGACCCGAAACCCGGUGAUCUAGCCAUGGGCAGGUUGAAGGUUGGGUAACACUAACUGGAGGACCGAACCGACUAAUGUUGAAAAAUUAGCGGAUGACUUGUGGCUGGGGGUGAAAGGCCAAUCAAACCGGGAGAUAGCUGGUUCUCCCCGAAAGCUAUUUAGGUAGCGCCUCGUGAACUCAUCUGCGGGGGUAGAGCACUGUUUCGGCAAGGGGGUCAUCCCGACUUACCAACCCGAUGCAAACUGCGAAUACCGGAGAAUGUUAUCACGGGAGACACACGGCGGGUGCUAACGUCCGUCGUGAAGAGGGAAACAACCCAGACCGCCAGCUAAGGUCCCAAAGUCAUGGUUAAGUGGGAAACGAUGUGGGAAGGCCCAGACAGCCAGGAUGUUGGCUUAGAAGCAGCCAUCAUUUAAAGAAAGCGUAAUAGCUCACUGGUCGAGUCGGCCUGCGCGGAAGAUGUAACGGGGCUAAACCAUGCACCGAAGCUGCGGCAGCGACACUGUGUGUUGUUGGGUAGGGGAGCGUUCUGUAAGCCUGUGAAGGUGGCCUGUGAGGGUUGCUGGAGGUAUCAGAAGUGCGAAUGCUGACAUAAGUAACGAUAAAGCGGGUGAAAAGCCCGCUCGCCGGAAGACCAAGGGUUCCUGUCCAACGUUAAUCGGGGCAGGGUGAGUCGACCCCUAAGGCGAGGCCGAAAGGCGUAGUCGAUGGGAAACAGGUUAAUAUUCCUGUACUUGGUGUUACUGCGAAGGGGGGACGGAGAAGGCUAUGUUGGCCGGGCGACGGUUGUCCCGGUUUAAGCGUGUAGGCUGUUUUUCCAGGCAAAUCCGGAAAAUCAAGGCUGAGGCGUGAUGACGAGGCACUAAGGUGCUGAAGUAACAAAUGCCCUGCUUCCAGGAAAAGCCUCUAAGCAUCAGGUAACAUCAAAUCGUACCCCAAACCGACACAGGUGGUCAGGUAGAGAAUACCAAGGCGCUUGAGAGAACUCGGGUGAAGGAACUAGGCAAAAUGGUGCCGUAACUUCGGGAGAAGGCACGCUGAUAUGUAGGUGAAGUGAUUUACUCAUGGAGCUGAAAUCAGUCGAAGAUACCAGCUGGCUGCAACUGUUUAUUAAAAACACAGCACUGUGCAAACACGAAAGUGGACGUAUACGGUGUGACGCCUGCCCGGUGCCGGAAGGUUAAUUGAUGGGGUUAGCGGUAACGCGAAGCUCUUGAUCGAAGCCCCGGUAAACGGCGGCCGUAACUAUAACGGUCCUAAGGUAGCGAAAUUCCUUGUCGGGUAAGUUCCGACCUGCACGAAUGGCGUAAUGAUGGCCAGGCUGUCUCCACCCGAGACUCAGUGAAAUUGAACUCGCUGUGAAGAUGCAGUGUACCCGCGGCAAGACGGAAAGACCCCGUGAACCUUUACUAUAGCUUGACACUGAACAUUGAGCCUUGAUGUGUAGGAUAGGUGGGAGGCUUUGAAGUGUGGACGCCAGUCUGCAUGGAGCCGACCUUGAAAUACCACCCUUUAAUGUUUGAUGUUCUAACGUGGGCCCCUUAUCGGGGUUGCGGACAGUGUCUGGUGGGUAGUUUGACUGGGGCGGUCUCCUCCUAAAGAGUAACGGAGGAGCACGAAGGUUGGCUAAUCCUGGUCGGACAUCAGGAGGUUAGUGCAAUGGCAUAAGCCAGCUUGACUGCGAGCGUGACGGCGCGAGCAGGUGCGAAAGCAGGUCAUAGUGAUCCGGUGGUUCUGAAUGGAAGGGCCAUCGCUCAACGGAUAAAAGGUACUCCGGGGAUAACAGGCUGAUACCGCCCAAGAGUUCAUAUCGACGGCGGUGUUUGGCACCUCGAUGUCGGCUCAUCACAUCCUGGGGCUGAAGUAGGUCCCAAGGGUAUGGCUGUUCGCCAUUUAAAGUGGUACGCGAGCUGGGUUUAGAACGUCGUGAGACAGUUCGGUCCCUAUCUGCCGUGGGCGCUGGAGAACUGAGGGGGGCUGCUCCUAGUACGAGAGGACCGGAGUGGACGCAUCACUGGUGUUCGGGUUGUCAUGCCAAUGGCACUGCCCGGUAGCUAAAUGCGGAAGAGAUAAGUGCUGAAAGCAUCUAAGCACGAAACUUGCCCCGAGAUGAGUUCU